rnacentral:rRNA from 1 species
UAUUGGUCAAUGGACGCGAGUCUGAACCAGCCACGGAGCGUGAAGGAUGACUGCCCUAUGGGUUGUAAACUUCUUUUAUAUGGGAAUAAAGUUUUCCACGUGUGGAAAUUUGUAUGUACCAUAUGAAUAAGGAUCGGCUCACUCCGUGCCAGCAGCCGCGGUAAUACGGAGGAUCCGAGCGUUAUCCGGAUUUAUUGGGUUUAAAGGCGGCGUAGGUGGACAGUUAAGUCAGUUGUGAAAGUUUGCGGCUCAACCGUAAAAUUGCAGUUAAAACUGGCAGUCUUGAGUACAGUAGAGGUGGGCGGAAUUCGUGGUGUAGCGGUGAAAUGCUUAGAUAUCACGAAGAACUCCGAUUGCGAAGGCAGCUCACUAGACUGCAACUGACACUGAUGCUCGAAAGUGUGGGUAUCAAAC